CUCCUCUCCUGCUCUCCGGUCAGCGUUCUGUACCUUUCUCAGUCACAGAUAUGAGGAGGGUUUGUUCUGGCCCCAUCUGCCCGAGUCAGACAGCAGUGCUGUGGGUACUGGUUCUGGAGAGGGAUACAACAUCAACCUGCCCUGGAAUAAGAUUGGAAUGAAAGACCCAGACUACGUUGCAGCAAUUCCAGCAGCUUCUUUUGCCUGUAGCCUACGAGUUCAACCUCAGCUUGUCCUGGUGGCAGCAGGCUUUGACUCUGUGAUAGGUGAUCCCAAGGGGGAGAUUGUCUGUCAGUCCUCAGUGUUUCUCUGUUCUGACUCACAUGCUGCUGGGCCUGGCUGGGGGAGGUUUGCUGCUGGCACUAGAGGGAGGAUAUAACCUGCAGUCCUACAGCAGAAGGGGUGUGUGCCUGUCUGAGGUCACUAUUGGGGGAGUCCUGCCCCGCCUGGGGCCACCAUCAUCCCGAGUAACAGUGCCCUGAAAUCCAUCUCCAGGUCUAUCUCUGCUCUGUACCCUUACUGGACCAGUCUGCAGG